UUAUUAUACAUUGAAUAAGCAGUGUUGUAACUGUUGUGUUUUUGACAUUCAUUUAUUAGCUUUUGGGGUUAUUCGUAGAAAUACUUUAAGUAAUACUUAAAUAAUGUUUUUUUUAAAGCAGAUUUACAAAUAUAGUGCCUUACUCUAGUCUAAGCAUUAUAUUUGUCUCUCAUUUAAUUAUUCUAUAUCUAUGAAUAUAUGUAUACACAUGCAGUCAAACCUAAUACUACUGUAUUUAAUAGAAGUUUGCAAGUUGUGCAGACGCGUGCGCCCUUUAACUUUAACUCUACAUAUUCCGCGAGUCAUAUGCGUAUUUUCGAUCAACAGCGAUUCGUCAUGCUACUUUCAAAAGUGCAUCUGAAUCGAUACGGAAGGUGCUGUGUAUAUGCGCGCAUCGUCAGGCGUUCAUGAAGAUGUAUCUUCGUAUCGAUAUUUUGAACACAGCACUACUGUUUAUGCAUAACUAAUACAGUUUUAUUUUCAAAGGUAACUGAGAAGAUAAUUUUGCCAAUCAUUUUAACAUUUACAUUUUCCUUUGUCUGUGUGCCACUGCCUCGACCUCCCCAUUAUUAGCCUAUAGUGCAGGGUACCUGAGUUCGUUGAGUUUCGUGAUGCACACCUUCAAGUAUCUAUGUACUUAAAAAAUAAAUGUAUUCAUUUUAAUUCCUUGCAUUUAAUUUCAAUUUAUAUUUUUGUAAUGUACAAAUAAAAAAAUUACAUUUUAAAAACUGUUUAAUUAGAAAAAUGAACAUCUGCGUCAAUGAUGUUUCCUUAUCUCAAGUGGAAUGACUGGCCAAAUUAAAGGUCAUUGGCCCUAGUUUGGGCACCUCUAAAUUAAAGGGAUAGUUCCCCCCAAAAUGGUCAUAAUUUACUCACUCUAAUGUUGUUACAAACCUGGAUGAAUUUCUUUGUUCUGAUGAACACAAAGGAAGAUAUUUUGAGUAAUGUUUGUUUGUAACCAAAUCAAUUUGAGGCCCCAUUGACUUCUAGUAUUCUUUUUCCUAUUAUGGAAGUCAAUGGGGCCUCUGAUCAGUUUGGUUACUCUGAUCAGUUUGGUUACAAACAUUACUCAAAAUAUCUUCCUUUGUGUUCAUCAGCACAAAUAAAUGAUGCAAGUUUGUAACAACAGGAGAGUGGGUCAAUUUCCCGAAUUUUAUUUUUGGGUGAACUAUCCCUUUAAGCAAGUGAAUGUAAACAAAACAGGUUCUGUUUUAUUUGGCUUACCUUUCAUUGCUUUGCAGUUGAGUGUGAAUCAUCCACUAUCUGAAACAGAAGUGUAUGGAGUGUUGAGGUUGAUGAUGACAAGGUGAUGACACUGUACAAAGGAGCUUCCAUUGCCUUUAUUGCGACUGACAAUAUUGUCUGCAAACCCUUCUCCAAAUAUUAAGUCUUAUUCUAUUACAACAUUGCCACCUGCCAGCAACCAAAUAUCUGUUUAAAAAUAUAUUGUCCAUUUUUGUAAAAAGAUAAUUUUGUCAAAAUAAAGAUUAAAAAAAUCUGCUACCACA